UAGGUUCGGCUUUUUAAGGCUCAAGAGGUGAAUAUGGAGCUCGACGUGUAAAAAGCUCGACCUGUCUUGUUUGGCUAGCGAGCCAAGCAUAACUAAAGUCAAUACUUGAGAGCAUUGUCCUAUUAUUUUAGGAAAAACACCAGCAGUACCUAGAAAUGAUAACAGUGACAUCGGUCUUUUUUAGAUAAAGAAAUAGCUCAUAUCCCGACCUCUACAUAAGUGCAACUAAUAUAUCCAGCCAUUAUUACAAAUAGAGAAGGGACCAAAUAUGUCAAAAGAGUAAAGUUGAACAACUCAACAAGUCUAUUACUAAACCACCACCCG
rnacentral:lncRNA from 1 species